rnacentral:rRNA from 1 species
UACGUAGGUGGCAAGCGUUGUCCGGAUUUACUGGGCGUAAAGAGCGCGCAGGCGGUCGUUUAAGUCGAAUGUGAAAAGCCCCCGGCUCAACUGGGGAGGGUCACUCGAUACUGAUCGACUCGAAGGCAGGAGAGGGAAGCGGAAUUCCCGGUGUAGUGGUGAAAUGCGUAGAUAUCUGGAGGAACACCGGUGGCGAAGGCGGCAGUCCUGGACCAAUUCUGACGCUGAGGAGCGAAAGCCAGGGGAGCAAAGCGGGAU